rnacentral:lncRNA from 1 species
UCCUCCCCUCACAUCUUUCUUUCUAGGCUGGCAUUAAUGAUGCUGAGGAUUUGUCUGCAGCCAGCCUCCGUGAUACCUUUCCAACCAGACCCUCCAAGCCAGUGAAGGGGUUUUGCUGUGCAGCAAGAAGGAUUGCCCUUACCCACCGCCCUACAGAAGGGAUCAAUAAUGUCAACGGCAGCACUGAAGGUGCCAAAAAAGCAGCGGGGCUCAACAGCAAGAAUGGCUGCUGUGGACAGGCAGGCAGACACAGGAACUCGAGACUUGUGCCCAGUCUGGCACUGCAGUCUGCUGUUUCACACCACCCUCCGGCAACCUUGUCCCUGAUCGUGACCAUGGAUCUCGCCUUCUCACACGGCUUGUAAUGCUUCGGUACCUUUUGGCUUGCCUACCAUGAAAGCGAAGCACGUUGCCUCUGUGGAUGAUAAGACACAUAGAAUCAGGAAGCCGUACCCCAGGGGCUGGGGUUGAAGAAGUGAAGGAGAAGCGCUCUGCCUUGCCACAGUGCCACGGGGCUGAGGAAGCCCCAGCUGCCCCAGCACCAAGACAGCCCAUGGAUAAUGCAGGAUGGGGUCUGAGCAGCCCAGGAGUAAUCCUUUCUGUGAACCCCUACCUUAUAACCACAGGCAUCCAGCGAGCCCCAGGAGCUGCGACAGACACCAGGACACCAUCCCCUGGCGGUGCACGGGACAUCAAGUGGCCGCAGAGCUGUGACCACUGCUGACCUCUGUCCUGCUGUCACCUCCCAGGCACACAGACGCUGGGAGGUGCUUGGCCACCUCCUCAGCACACCCACGCUGGGGGAUGAGCACAGCGGGGCACUGGUGCUGGCCACAGCCCCUCACCCAGCCUGCUGGCGUGCUUAGGCAUGUAUGCAGUGCAAGAAGCUAUGUUGUUGUGACUUGUUAGCAUGUGGCACUGGUAAAUAAAAGCACAUUGGUCUUAUCA